AGUGAACGCUGGCGGUAGGCCUAACACAUGCAAGUCGAACGGCAGCACAGUAAGAGCUUGCUCUUACGGGUGGCGAGUGGCAGACGGGUGAGGAAUCCAUCGGAAUCUACUUUUUCGUGGGGGAUAACGUAGGGAAACUUACGCUAAUACCGCAUACGACCUACGGGUGAAAGCAGGGGAUCUUCGGACCUUGCGCGAUUGAGUGAGCCGAUGUCGGAUUAGCUCGUUGGCGGGGUAAAGGCCCACCAAGGCGACGAUCCGUAGCUGGUCUGAGAGGAUGAUCAGCCACACUGGAACGGAGACACGGUCCAGACUCCUACGGGAGGCAGCAGUGGGGAAUAUUGGACAAUGGGCGGAAGACUGAUCCAGCCAUACCGCGUGGGUGAAGAAGGCCUUCGGGUUGUAAAGCCCUUUUGUUGGGAAAGAAAAGCAGCAGGUUAAUACCCCGCUGUUCUGACGGUACCCAAAUAAGAAGCACCGGCUAACUUCGUG
rnacentral:rRNA from 1 species